GUCUGCACGAGCGCACCCCUAUGAUUAGUUUGCCAGCGAGUAAUGUCGGGGACUCUAGUCAGACUGCCUGUAUUAAACAGGAGGAAGGUGGGGACGACGUCAAGUCAGUAUGGCCCUUACGCCUAGGGCUGCACACGUACUACAAUGCCCAGUACAAUGUGAACCGAUACCGCGAGGUGGAGGAAAUCUCAAAAACUGGGCUCAGUUCGGAUUGUGGGCUGCAACUCGCCCACAUGAAGCUGGAAUCGCUAGUAAUGGCACAUCAGCUACGGUGCCGUGAAUACGUUCCCGGGUCUUGUACACACCGCCCGUCACAUCAUGGAAGCCGGCCGCACCCGAAGUCGUUCUACCAACCGCAAGGAGGUAGUCGCCCACGGUGUAGCUGGUAACUGGGAUGAAGUCGUAACAAGGUAGCCGUAGGGGAACCUGCGGCUGGAUCACCUCCUUU
rnacentral:rRNA from 1 species